rnacentral:rRNA from 1 species
CCACGUCGUANCCCGGCGGCGUGCUUAACACAUGCAAGUCGAACGGAAAGGCCCUUUCGGGGGUACUCGAGUGGCGAACGGGUGAGUAACACGUGGGUGAUCUGCCCUGCACUUUGGGAUAAGCCUGGGAAACUGGGUCUAAUACCGAAUAUGAUCAUGCGCCUCAUGGUGUGUGGUGGAAAGCUUUUGCGGUGUGGGAUGGGCCCGCGGCCUAUCAGCUUGUUGGUGGGGUAAUGGCCUACCAAGGCGACGACGGGUAGCCGGCCUGAGAGGGUGUCCGGCCACACUGGGACUGAGAUACGGCCCAGACUCCUACGGGAGGCA